CCUAAGGUAGCGAAAUUCCUAGUCGGGUAAGUUCCGACCCGCACGAAAGGUUUAACAACGGGAGCGCUGUCUCGGGGAGGCAGCCGGCGAAAUUGUAGUGGCGGUGAAGAUGCCGCCUACCCGCAGUUGGACGAAAAGACCCCGGAACCUUUACUGCAGGCUGGUAUUGAAUUUUGGUCCGGUAUGUGUAGAAUAGGUGGGAGGCUGUGAACCCCGGACGCCAGUUCGGGGGGAGCCACCAGUGAAAUACCACCCUUACCGUACUAAGGUUCUAACCCCCCGAUUUAGCGGGGGAGACAGUGCCAGUUGGGCAGUUUAACUGGGGCGGUUUCCUCCUAAAAGGUAACGGAGGAGCCCAAAGGUAGGCUCAGUCCGAUUGGAAACCGGACGUUGAGUGUAAGGGCAUAAGCCUGCCUGACUGCGAGAAAGACAUUUCGAGCAGAGCGGAAACGCGGGCCUAGUGAUCCGGUGGUUGCGUGUGGGAGCGCCAUCGCUCAACGGAUAAAAGGUACUCCGGGGAUAACAGGCUUAUCGGGCCCGAGAGUUCACAUCGACGGCCCGGUUUGGCACCUCGAUGUCGGCUCAUCCCAUCCUGGGGGUGGAGAAGCUCCCAAGGGUCCGGCUGUUCGCCGGUUAAAGGGGUACGUGAGCUGGGUUCAGAACGUCGUGAGACAGUACGAACCGUGCUGUCUAUAAAUCUGGCUAUAUGCUGGGAAGUCUGAGUAUCCCAUAUUACUACUUGAUUAUUCAGUCUCUAUAUGCUAUUCUAUAGAGAUUCCCUUUUUUAAGGGACCACUUUGAAAUAAUAAGGUGGUGAGUAAUCAAGAGUAAAAAUAUAUGGGUGCAGAUAACCAGCAGGGAAGGCUAGAAGGAGAGUGGGGCGAUUAUAUCGCCGGUUUUGUAGAUGGUGAGGGAAGUUUCUCCAUUUCUAUCCAGAGAAGUAAGAAUGUGAGAUUAGGAAUUCAGGUUAUUCCUGAGUUUCAUGUGUGUCAGCACCGUAACCGUAAGGAAGUGUUGGAAUUAAUCCAGAGACAUCUUGGGUGUGGGUAUAUUAAACCCAAUCAUUCCAGAAAUCCCUAUGAUCUUACUUGGGUGUUAGUAGUGCGAGAUUUAAAGAAUUUAGAACAACGUGUGAUUCCUUUUUUUGAAAAAUACUCUCUUUUUUCUAAAAGAGAUGAUUUUGAGAAGUUUAAAGAAGUGAUAAGAAUGAUGGGGAAGAAACUUCAUCUCACCCUUGAAGGUUUAAAGAAAAUUUUAAGAAUCGCCCACUCCAUGAAUAGCAGGGGUAGAUACAGAAAACUACCACUUAAGGAGUUAUUUCUUCUUCUAGAACCCUCAGAGACUGUACGCCAGACCCCGACGUAACGUCGGGGAAGAUAUAGUCCGAACUCACCGGCGACGGUGAGAGUCUGACAGAAAUGUCAGGCCGCCCAGCCUUUUUAUUCAACCUAUGGAAAGAAAAUAGCGGUUAUUUUUCAAUAUUUUGCAAAGAAGAUUAAUCUUUUACUUAAGAUAAAUAGAAAUUAAAAAAGGCUGGGUCAGUAUCCCGACGAAUGUCGGGAGAAAGUAACAGAUUGUCGGUCUCUAUCCACUGUGGGUGCAAGGAUACCUGAAGAGGAGCUGUCCCUAGUACGAGAGGACCGGGGCAGAGGAACCUCCGGUGUACCAGUUAUCGCGCCAGCGGUAAAGGCUGGGUAGCCGUGUUCCUAUGAGAUAACCGCUGAAGGCAUCUAAGCGGGAAGCUCACCUCAAAACUAGGUAUCCCUCCCCGACAUUUCGUCGGGGUGAAGGCCGGUCGGAGACUACGACCUUGAUAGGAUGCAGGUGUAAGUCCGGUAACGGAUUUAGCCGAGCAUUCCUAAUGGCCAAUCGGCUUGAU
rnacentral:rRNA from 1 species